AAAACUUUUCCAAAAGAAAAAAAGAAAAAUCUGUUCUUAUCAGUUUAAUAUCUGAUACGUCCCCUAUCUGGGGACCAUAUAUUAAAUUGAUUUUUGGAAUAGGGAGAUGGAAUAGGGCUUGCUCCGUCCACUCCACGCAUCGACCUGGUAUUGCAGUACCUCCAGGAACGGUGCACCCCCU
ensembl:snRNA U2 U2 spliceosomal RNA